GGCGUGUCAGGUCCUGCCGACUGCAGCCUAACUUACUGCACCUGUUCUGGAGCCUCACACUCCCUGACUGACUCACACACAGAAACCGGAGUUCUGGUGGCACCUGCAGCGUGGCCCCAACUCAGCUGGGACGAGGCUUGGACACAUCCAAAACCAACGCCACCACCAGCACCUCCCUCCCUCCCUUCACACCUCUGCCCCACUACCCAGACACUAACCCCAAACUCUAGGACACUGGGUUCCUUCAGUUGGGUUAUGAAUUGCAGUACCAACACUCAACUUUGAGCACCAAGAAGCUUUCAAAAGAACUAAGAGACAAAAGGUCCACAGACAUGGCACCAAAACUCCAGUGUUUCACUGUGGGGCCGACCGGAUAUGCCGCACUGUAGACCAGCAUUUCACUGUGGGGCUGACCGGAUAUGCUGCACUGUAGACCAACGUCACCCUAACUAGCAAAUACAUGUUGCAAAUGCAUUUUGGAUCGUCUAAUUUGAAAAUGGGAUCACAAGAGAAGUUUUGUAUAAAACCAACUGUGCUUAGUCCACAGAACUGGGGUAAUGUGAAUAAUCUCAGAUAAAUAAACAAGGCAG
ensembl:lncRNA